rnacentral:rRNA from 1 species
GACGAACGCUGGCGGCGUGCUUAACACAUGCAAGUCGAACGGAAAGGCCCUGCUUUUGUGGGGUGCUCGAGUGGCGAACGGGUGAGUAACACGUGAGUAACCUGUCCUUGACUUUGGGAUAACUUCAGGAAACUGGGGCUAAUACCGGAUAGGAGCUCCUGCUGCAUGGUGGGGUUGGAAAGUUUCGGCGGUUGGGGAUGGACUCGCGGCUUAUCAGCUUGUUGGUGGGGUAGUGGCUUACCAAGGCUUUGACGGGUAGCCGGCCUGAGAGGGUGACCGGCCACAUUGGGACUGAGAUACGGCCCAGACUCCUACGGGAGGCAGCAGUGGGGAAUAUUGCACAAUGGGCGGAAGCCUGAUGCAGCAACGCCGCGUGCGGGAUGACGGCCUUCGGGUUGUAAACCGCUUUCGCCUGUGACGAAGCGUGAGUGACGGUAAUGGGUAAAGAAGCACCGGCUAACUACGUG